rnacentral:rRNA from 1 species
GGCGGUCUCCUCCUAAAGAGUAACGGAGGAGCACGAAGGUUGGCUAAUCCUGGUCGGACAUCAGGAGGUUAGUGCAAUGGCAUAAGCCAGCUUGACUGCGAGCGUGACGGCGCGAGCAGGUGCGAAAGCAGGUCAUAGUGAUCCGGUGGUUCUGAAUGGAAGGGCCAUCGCUCAACGGAUAAAAGGUACUCCGGGGAUAACAGGCUGAUACCGCCCAAGAGUUCAUAUCGACGGCGGUGUUUGGCACCUCGAUGUCGGCUCAUCACAUCCUGGGGCUGAAGUAGGUCCCAAGGGUAUGGCUGUUCGCCAUUUAAAGUGGUACGCGAGCUGGGUUUAGAACGUCGUGAGACAGUUCGGUCCCUAUCUGCCGUGGGCGCUGGAGAACUGAGGGGGGCUGCUCCUAGUACGAGAGGACCGGAGUGGACGCAUCACUGGUGUUCGGGUUGUCAUGCCAAUGGCACUGCCCGGUAGCUAAAUGCGGAAGAGAUAAGUGCUGAAAGCAUCUAAGCACGAAACUUGCCCCGAGAUGAGUUCUCCCUGACUCCCUGAGAGUCCUGAAGGAACGUUGAAGACGACGACGUUGAUAGGCCGGGUGUGUAAGCGCAGCGAUGCGUUGAGCUAACCGGUACUAAUGAACCGUGAGG